rnacentral:tRNA from 1 species
GCCCUAGUAGCUUAAAUAAAAGCGCCGGUUUUGUAAUCCGGAGACCGGAGGUUAGAAUCCCCCCUAAGGCC